CUUUCUUUUCUGUCCAAAUCCUCCGCCCCCAAACGAAGCCCAAAUUCUCUCGGUCCCCUUUCUUCCUCUCUCUCCUCUCACCAGCCGCAAGUCCCCCACCCACACACUGCCACUCUUGACUGACGACAACCUUGUCAACCGCGCCUUCCUCCACUGCCGGAGCACCGAUCGAGCCUUCAAUUUCUCAGUCUCCCGAAAAACUGCAGCCGCAACUCUGCUUCUCCCUAUCACUCGCUCAAUCUUGCCCGCCGGUCGCCGCUCCUUUCUCCACCGCCGCAGGUAGAGCGUGCAGCUCUCCAGAGCCAACCCAUAACCUCGUAACCACCCUGCCACACCUAUCUCCACUGUCAUGGACUCGUCAGCUUCUUCCCCUCCUGACACUAAACCCCUCGUUCCCCCUGCACUUGCAGUUGAAGUUUCACAUGCUGGUAACCCUCCAUCGCCCACUCCAGUCGAAACUUCUUUAGGUGUGUACUGCCAGCCCUACUCUGCUGCCUAAAAACUUGACAUCGUGCCAAGAUGUAGGAACUAAUAUUGAGCUAGAUGUUUGAAAUUCAAUAAAGACAAAACCAUCAGGAGUGGUUCAUAGUUUGUGGUAUUGCUUCAGUUCACUGGGUAUGUUGGUACUUCUUUACGGGGUUGUGUAUAGUGUACACAUCGUGGUCAACGAUCGGAUAGUUGAACCUAUCUUGGGUUAUUGGAUUGGGUAUUGUCAGCAAAUACUGAUGUUUUGUCUAUACUACUAUAGAAGGCAUUCUCCAUAUCGGUGUAUUGGGAGACUUGUAAAGUCUAUGGUUGAGGUGAUUAGUGUCUCUGUUGCUUUGGCGCUCCGGCAAUUUGUGGGGUAUAAUAUCAACAACCUUAUUCUGUUGAUAGGAUCCACUAUUGUCCUUCAUGGCUUUGUCCAGUUUAUGCAUGUGGCAUACGAUAUCAGUGCAUUGGACACAUUGCUGGGACUACUCAUGCAAGUUCUCAUUUAUACCAUGGGUGGAGAAAUGUACAUGUCAGCUGCUAUAUAUCUGUCUUGUCUUGGAGUUAUUGUCUAUCGGUAUGCUUCCUAUUCUGCACCAGCCUUGCCUGUUCUAGAAUACAAGAGCUUGCUGUCCCAGCGUUGUUGAUUGAAGGUUUUGCGGGGUGCUGAUCUGCUUCAUACUAUUCUGCUCCUAUACUAACAAUGAUCACUCACUGCAACCCAGCUAUAGGCCUCUUACUGAAGUUUAAGUUGUUUUUGAAGCUGCCUUGUUAUUUAGAUAAGAUAUAAAGCGUCCUUUUAACUGAAGAUUGUACUGUGUUUGGAUUGAGAUAAUUUGAAAUAAAAUAAUUUGUUUCAUAAAAUUCAA